GGAAUAUUGCACAAUGGGCGCAAGCCUGAUGCAGCCAUGCCGCGUGUAUGAAGAAGGCCUUCGGGUUGUAAAGUACUUUCAGCGGGGAGGAAGGCGAUGGGGUUAAUAACCCUGUCGAUUGCCGUUACCCGCAGCAGAAGCACCGGCUAACUCCGUGCCAGCAGCCGCGGUAAUACGGAGGGUGCAAGCGUUAAUCGGAAUUACUGGGCGUAAAGCGAGCGCAGGCGGUUUCUUAAGUCUGAUGUGAAAGCCCCCGGCUCAACCGGGGAGGGUCAUUGGAAACUGGGAGACUUGAGUGCAGAAGAGGAGAGUGGAAUUCCAUGUGUAGCGGUGAAAUGCGUAGAUAUAUGGAGGAACACCAGUGGCGAAGGCGGCUCUCUGGUCUGUAACUGACGCUGAGGCUCGAAAGCGUGGGGAGCAAACA
rnacentral:rRNA from 1 species